GCAAACUUGGUCAUUUAGAGGAAGUAAAAGUCGUAACAAGGUUUCCGUAGGUGAACCUGCGGAAGGAUCAUUAACGAGCGUAAGACCGGGGCGCCCCCGUGCCUCCGGCUCUCACCAGCCCGGUGAUUAGCGUCAUAUACCCCAAUAAAUCCGGUUGCGUCGGCGGGGCUUCAGAUGAGCCCGCCGGCAGUCCGCGACAUACACCCUUUGACGUUUUCGUCGAACCAGCGGCCUGAAGGCAUGAGCAAAUCUAUCAAGGAAAGUGAAAACUUUCAACAACGGAUCUCUUGGUUCCAGCAUCGAUGAAGAACGCAGC
rnacentral:misc_RNA from 1 species